GCUAAAUGUUUUUCUUUUAAUUUUCAUCCACGCCACCCCCACCACCUGCAGACACACAACCCCUCUAAAAGGUCGUGGUUCAACUCUGCUGGCCUCAGUUUAGCUGCAGAAGUGACGCUGAUCUUCAGAAACGUCCAGUGGAAUCAUGAAGCCCCAUCAGAUCUCUGCCUUCUUCCUCCUGGUGACAGUGCUGCUGUCCUCCACUCUGGCUCAAAAUGCAAAAGGACCAAUUCACUGUUGCUUUAAAUACUUUCCUGGAAGACUGAGGAUGGCUGUGAUAGAUAGAUAUGAAGAGACCAGUGCAGAAUGCAGUAAACCUGGAAUUAUAUUUCACACCAAAAAGGGCAUUGAAGUGUGUGUCGAACCCAGUGUUCCUUGGGUUCAGGGGGUGAAGAAAAGGCUGGACCAGCACUUCUUUCAGUAAAACCUGCUGCCUGCUUGGAAAAGCAUGAAGAUCAAUUUUUUAAAUCACAUUUCAGCCUUUAUUUUCUUGUAAGAUUACUUUCUGUCAUCUCCUAAAUCAUACUUUUGCUGCAGCAUUAUUGUUGUUAUUGUUGUUAUAGUGUUUUUAUUUUUUUAAACAAUAAUUUAAAUUCUCCUGUAACAUAAUCUCCUGCCAUCUUCCAUAUCAUAUACACUUUAACUGCAUUUUAUACUUUAAUAUCUAAAGUUUUAUUUAGCCAGUAGUUAAAUUUGAAUUGCACAUAUAUUGUUUGAAUUGUAAAUAUACUGUUUUACAUGCAUGUUACUAAAUAAAGACUAUUGAGAGGUUA